GACCCGUCUUGAAACACGGACCAAGGAGUUUAUCGUAUGUGCGAGUCAUUGAAUGAGAAAAAUUCAUUGGCAUAAUGAAAGUAAAGAUAUCUCUUCUGAUAUUGAUAUGCGAUGUGUGGUGGAUAUCCUUCACAUAGCAGCAUAGUCCAAUCUGAUAUGCUUGCAUAAGGGUUGAGAUAGAGCAGAUGUGAUGAGACCCGAAAGAUGGUGAACUAUGCCUGAACAGGAUGAAGUCAGAGGAAACUCUGAUGGAAGUCCGUAGCGGUUCUGACGUGCAAAUCGAUCGUCUGAUUUGGGUAUAGGGGCGAAAGACUAAUCGAACCAUCUAGUAGCUGGUUCCUUCCG
rnacentral:rRNA from 1 species